rnacentral:lncRNA from 1 species
CUUGAAUCUGGGCUUGGCCACCGGGACAUUAGCAAACGUGAUGCAAGCAGGGGCUUGAAAAGCACUUGCACAAAAGGAAUUACCCCUUUUUGACAGCGGCUGUAACCCUGAGACCGGUGAUGUGAGCAAGCCUGGGCUGGCCUAAUAGAGAGGCCUUAUGCAGCAGGGCUGAGCCCAGGCAGCAGCCUGCCUAUGUCCAACCAGCCAAUUGCCAGACACGUGAGUGAGGUCAUCUUAGGCCAUCCAGCCCCAUUUAAGACCCUAGAGGACUACAGACACAUGAAUGACUCCAGGGAAGACCAGCAGCAGAACCACUCCGGUGACCUCAGCCCAAAUCGCUGAUCCAGAUUCAUGAGCAAGCCGUUAAGUCUGGCCAUGGUUUGUAACGCAGUGAUCAAUAACUGAUAUAGAAGAAAGCCAUCCUGAGGAUUUGACAGCAUGGGAAGGAGUUGAAGAAUCCAGAGAAACAGAACCAGGCUUUAUUGACCUACCCCUGAAGCUGCAUUACCUGUGGACCUUCAGUUACGGAAGUUACUGUGUUACCUUUAGUAUUCAAGCCACAUUGUUUGGGUUUUCUCUUACUUUCAAUAAGAGCAUUCUCACUGACAAGAACAAAAGGUCCUGCAGAGAGAGAAGACCACGAGAAGCAAAAAGCAGCAAGAUGACUGGAAAGAUUCAGGAAUUGGGAGCAGUGAAUAACUCAAAGUGCAGUGGAGGUUGGUGCUGAACAUCAGCAUUAGCUGACAAUUUGUAAAAGAAGCAGUUCCUGGCCAGGUGCCAUGGCUCACGCCUAUAAUCUCAGCACUUUGGGAGACCAAGGAGGGUGUAUCACGAGGUCAAGAGAUCGAGACCAUCCUGGCUAACACAGUGAAACCCUGUCUCUACGAAAAAGAACACAAAAAAUUAGCCAGGUGUGGUGGCACGGGCCUGUAGUCCCAGCUAUUCGGGAGGCUGAGGCAGGAGAAUCACUUUAACCUGAGAGGCGGAGGUUGCAGUGAGCCGAGAUCGAGUCACUGCACUCCAGCCUGGGUGACAGGGCUAGAGUCCGUCUCAUAAAUAAAAUGAAAUAAUAAAAAACAGAUGUUCAAACUCACUGGUAAUCAAUGAAAUGCAAGUUAAAACAAUGAGAUACCAUUUUAUACCUCGCAGAGGGACAAAAAUUAGAGUUAGAAAAUAGCAGGGUGAAAAUUGGAGAAAUGAUCAUCCUUUUGUCUCAUUAUGGGAGUGCAAACUGGUGCAGAUAUUUAAGAAACAAAUGUGGCUGAAUUGGGGAAGUCAAGGAUAUAAGACCCAGCAACCAGCAAUCUCAGCCUGGGUUGGGAGGUGAAUUCUGUACAUCUGAGAGUUCGCCCAUCCACAAGGGGUCGUGUACAAGGAUGUUCACUGCAGAUUUGUUGUAAAAAUGAGGAGGUGGUGUCCAUCACUAAUGGAAUAUUUGGGUGCAUCUCAUGUGCUGCUGCUCAGCGGUAGGACCCAGGAGCGAGGUGGACAGGCAGCGGCCGGAGGAGGUCAGAAAAACAGUGCUGGGGC